rnacentral:rRNA from 1 species
UACAGAGGUCCCAAGCGUUGUUCGGAUUCACUGGGCGUAAAGGGUGCGUAGGUGGUGAGGUAAGUCGGAUGUUGAAAUCUCCGGGCUCAACCCGGAAAUGGCAUUGGAAACUACCUUGCUGGAGGGUUUGAGGGGGGAUUGGAAUACUUGGUGUAGCAGUGAAAUGCGUAGAUAUCAAGUGGAACACCAGUGGCGAAGGCGAAUCCCUGGAAAACACCUGACACUGAGGCACGAAAGCUAGGGGAGCAAACAGG